UGGGGAAUAUUGCACAAUGGGCGCAAGCCUGAUGCAGCCAUGCCGCGUGUGUGAAGAAGGCCUUCGGGUUGUAAAGCACUUUCAGCGAGGAGGAAGGGUAGUGUGUUAAUAGCACAUUGCAUUGACGUUACUCGCAGAAGAAGCACCGGCUAACUCCGUGCCAGCAGCCGCGGUAAUACGGAGGGUGCAAGCGUUAAUCGGAAUUACUGGGCGUAAAGCGCACGCAGGCGGUUUGUUAAGUCAGAUGUGAAAUCCCCGCGCUUAACGUGGGAACUGCAUUUGAAACUGGCAAGCUAGAGUCUUGUAGAGGGGGGUAGAAUUCCAGGUGUAGCGGUGAAAUGCGUAGAGAUCUGGAGGAAUACCGGUGGCGAAGGCGGCCCCCUGGACAAAGACUGACGCUCAGGUGCGAAAGCGUGGGGAGCAAAACAGGAUUAGAUACCCUGGUAGUCCACGCUGUAAACGAUGUCGACUUGGAGGUUGUGCCCUUGAGGCGUGGCUUCCGGAGCUAACGCGUUAAGUCGNCCGCCUGGGGGAGUACGGCCGCAAGGUUAAAAC
rnacentral:rRNA from 1 species